rnacentral:rRNA from 1 species
UAACGCGUGGGAAUCUGCCCUCAGGUUGGGAAUAACGACGGGAAACUGUCGCUAAUACCGGAUGAUCCCUUAGGGGGAAAGAUUUAUCGCUGAUAGAUGAGCCCGCGUACGAUUAGCUAGUUGGUGAGGUAAUGGCUCACCAAGGCUACCAUCGUUAGCUGGUCUGAGAGGAUGAUCAGCCACACUGGGACUGAGACACGGCCCAGACUCCUACGGGAGGCAGCAGUGGGGAAUAUUGGACAAUGGGCGAAAGCCUGAUCCAGCAAUGCCGCGUGAGUGAUGAAGGCCUUAGGGUUGU